rnacentral:rRNA from 1 species
AUUCCAGCUCCAAUAGCGUAUAUUAAAGUUGUUGCAGUUAAAAAGCUCGUAGUUGGAUUUCUGGUCUGAUGCCCUGGCCCGCGUCUUAUAGAUGUGUGUGCCGGCUGUGCGUCUGCCAUCCUUCUAGUAACCCUUCCUACCCUUCACUGGGCCGGGUUGGCGAUCUAGACCUUUUACUUUGAAAAAAUUAGAGUGUUUAAAGUAGGCUUUUGCUAUGAAUACAUUAGCAUGGAAUAAUAAUCUAGGACUUCGGUUCUAUUUUGUUGGUUUCUAGUACUGAAGUAAUGAUUGAUAGGGAUAGUUGGGGGUGCUAGUAUUGAGCGGCCAGAGGUGAAAUUCUUGGAUUCGCUCAAGACUAACUUAUGCGAAAGCAUUCACCAAGGAUGUCUUCAUUA